rnacentral:rRNA from 1 species
GCUUACGGCCACACCGCCUGGUUCACGUCCGAUCUCGUUUGAUCUCGGAAGCUAAAAUAGGUUGGGCCUGGUUAGUACUUGCAAGGGAGACUGCCUGGGAAUACCAGGUGCUGUAACUU